rnacentral:rRNA from 1 species
CUACGGGACGCAGCAGUGGGGAAUAUUGGACAAUGGGGGAAACCCUGAUCCAGCAAUGCCGCGUGUGUGAAGAAGGCCUGCGGGUUGUAAAGCACUUUCGGUUGGGAGGACUGCUUCUAGCACUAAUAUUGUUGGAAGUUGACGUUACCUUCAGAAGAAGCACCGGCUAACUCCGUGCCAGCAGCCGCGGUAAUACGGAGGGUGCAAGCGCUAAUCGGAAUUACUGGGCGUAAAGCGCGCGGAGGCGGCUAGAUCAGUCGGGUGUGAAAGCCCCGGGCUUAACCUGGGAACUGCAUCCGAUACUGUCUAGCUUGAGUACAGGAGAGGAGAGUGGAAUUCCACAUGUAGCGGUGAAAUGCGUAGAUAUGUGGAGGAACACCAAUGGCGAAGGCAGCUCUCUGGCCUGAUACUGACGCUGAGGUGCGAAAGCGUGGGGAGCAAACAGGAUUAGAUACCCGAGUAGUC